rnacentral:pre_miRNA from 1 species
GGGGGUAUUCACGGCACCGUCAAGACGGCGCACCUUCUUAACGUCCUUCGGUGCUUGCUUGCACACACUCAAGCAGGCACCGAAGGGCGUUAAGAAGGUGCGCUGUCUUGACGGUGCCGUGAAUACCUUC